GAGUUUGAUCAUGGCUCAGGAUGAACGCUAGCGGCAGGCUUAAUACAUGCAAGUCGAGGGGCAGCACGGUUAGCAAUAACUGGUGGCGACCGGCGCACGGGUGCGUAACACGUAUACAAUCUACCUUAAACAGGGGGAUAGCCUUUCGAAAGAGAGAUUAAUACCCCGUAAUAAAUUGAACGGCAUCGUUUGAUUUGAAAGCUCCGGCGGUUUGAGAUGAGUAUGCGUCUGAUUAGCUAGUUGGUGAGGUAACGGCUCACCAAGGCGACGAUCAGUAGGGGAUCUGAGAGGACUAACCCCCACACUGGUACUGAGACACGGACCAGACUCCUACGGGAGGCAGCAGUAAGGAAUAUUGGUCAAUGGAGGCAACUCUGAACCAGCCAUGCCGCGUGCAGGAUGACGGCCCUAUGGGUUGUAAACUGCUUUUAUACAAGAGAAAACCCUGGUACGUGUACCAGGUUGAUAGUAUUGUAAGAAUAAGCAUCGGCUAACUUCGUG
rnacentral:rRNA from 1 species